rnacentral:rRNA from 1 species
GACAGAGGGUGCAAACGUUGUUCGGAAUUACUGGGCGUAAAGCGCGUGUAGGCGGCUAAGUAAGUCGGGCGUGAAAUCCCACGGCUCAACCGUGGAAGUGCACUCGAAACUGCGUAGCUAGAGUCCUGGAGAGGAAGGUGGAAUGCUUGGUGUAGAGGUGAAAUUCGUAGAUAUCAAGCGGAACACCGGUGGCGACGGCGGCCUUCUGGACAGUGACUGACGCUGAGACGCGAAAGCGUGGGGAGCAAACAGG